AUUAACGAAAAUAAAACGUUUUCAAAGUAGUGUACAUUUCAUAAUGAAAAGGGGAUUGAAAAAUGGGUACUAUUGUAUGCCAAGCUUGCGACUCGACAAUUGAUCAUUUCGAAGAUGAAAAAGUAACAGUUCUCUAUUCUAGAUGUAAUUGUUGCGAUGAUCACCAUCCUGAAGAAGAACGAUAAAAAUAUUUUUU
rnacentral:sRNA from 1 species